rnacentral:rRNA from 1 species
CAGCAGCCGCGGGAAUACGUAGGGUGCAAGCGUUAAUCGGAAUUACUGGGCGUAAAGCGUGCGCAGGCGGUUUUGUAAGACAGAGGUGAAAUCCCCGGGCUCAACCUGGGAACUGCCUUUGUGACUGCAAGGCUAGAGUACGGCAGAGGGGGAUGGAAUUCCGCGUGUAGCAGUGAAAUGCGUAGAUAUGCGGAGGAACACCGAUGGCGAAGGCAAUCCCCUGGGCCUGUACUGACGCUCAUGCACGAAAGCGUGGGGAGCAAACAGGAUUAGAUACCCGCGUAGUCCCUGUCUCUUAUAC